UACGUAGGGGGCAAGCGUUGUUCGGAAUUACUGGGCGUAAAGCGCACGUAGGCGGACUCUUAAGUCGGUGGUGAAAUCCUGGAGCUCAACUCCAGAACUGCCUUCGAUACUGAGAGUCUCGAGUCCGGGAGAGGUGAGUGGAACUGCGAGUGUAGAGGUGAAAUUCGUAGAUAUUCGCAAGAACACCAGUGGCGAAGGCGGCUCACUGGCCCGGUACUGACGCUGAGGUGCGAAAGCGUGGGGAGCAAACAGG
rnacentral:rRNA from 1 species